UAAUUUAUAUAAACAAUUGAGAUCAAAAAUGUUUUAUGUAAACCAGACAAUAACUGGUAUAUUCAAUAUACAGUACAACUCCAAUUAUCCGAACUUCGACUAUCCGAAUCACUUUCAGAAUUUAAGAAAAAAAAUUAAGACGGAAACGUACUGCAAUUCACAAAAUAAUGAUUCUGUCUAUGCUUGCUAUUGUCCUUCCCUCCGUGAAGCUAGUGUAGGCACAGCACGAACAUUAUUGGGAUGAUGAGUCACCGUCUCAUAGUGCAGUUCUAUUAUUGGCUACAGUACUGUCAUCCAUUGCCAGGUGGCUGGCCAGGCCCACCUGUUAGGCUUAGUUCCCAUCAAGCUGCGAUAGGCGACAUGAAUUGACGUCAAAAUGUCAUCAUAUCCAGCGAAUGUGCUUGCGAAUUCACAUCUCUUUCAAAGCUGAAAAGUUUCAGCUUUUUUGCUGGUGAAAAAUAUUCGCCACCAAUCACAACUAAUCCUCUGACGUCAAAGAACAGCUUAUUCAAAGAUGGGCUGCCAUCAACACAUUCAACGUGGAGAUAUUUUUAUUAGAAUUGCAAAAUGCACCUUUUUUAUAUAACAAAGGCAAUAACAUAGAUAUUCGUUAGUAUGAGUAACUUUCUAUUAGAAGCCAUGUUGCUUUUUGACGUCGUCUUCUU
rnacentral:lncRNA from 1 species